CCCUUAGAUGUCCUGGGCUGCACGCGCGCUACACUGAAGCGUUCAACGAGUAUUCACCUUGCCCGGGAGGGUUGGGUAAUCUUUUGAAAACGCUUCGUGAUGGGGAUAGAUUAUUGCAAUUAUUAAUCUUCAACGAGGAAUUCCUAGUAAGCGCGAGUCAUCAGCUCGUGCUGAUUACGUCCCUGCCCUUUGUACACACCGCCCGUCGCUCCUACCGAUUGAGCGAUCCGGUGAAUAAUUCGGACUGCAGCACUGCUUGGUCUCCAGGCUUUGCAGCGGAAAGUUUAGUGAACCUUAUCACUUAGAGGAAGGAGAAGUCGUAACA
rnacentral:rRNA from 1 species